AAACAAGCGGUGGCAAUUGCAGCGAGAAGGAGAAGAAGAAAAGUGAAUUUGAAAAGAGAAGACCAAUGAAAAGCCAUUGAUAACCUCUUACGCCAAGGCCUACACUCCUCUUCGUCUUGGUCGUCAGGAGUUGCUUGUUUCAAUGACAAGCGCGGCCUUAAUCCUCCUAAAUUAGCCAGAUUUCUCAAUUGAAGAUAAAAAUUAAACACCCCUAAAUCUAUAAGGAUAAAACCCCAAGAAAAUUUCUACAAUGCCUCAUCUCCCAAGAACAAAAAGAUCAAUUUUGCGAUAGUUUUUGAUCUUGGGGUGGAUCUAUAAGCUUAAAAAAGCUUUGCUUUGCUACUUUCCUUCUGCUAUUUUUUGCGUUUUGCGUCUAGGAAGAUGCUAAUUCGCG
rnacentral:misc_RNA from 1 species